rnacentral:tRNA from 1 species
GGGCCGCUAGCUCAACUGGCAGAGCAGCUGACUCUUAAUCAGCAGGUUCAGCGUUCGAUUCGCUGGCGGCUCACCA